rnacentral:ribozyme from 1 species
GUCGCUGUCGUCCACAAGCAGAAGCAGAAGCGCAAGGACGAGGACGUGUGAGGUCAGGGCUGGCUCGGACUUAUCCUCCCUAUUCGACGGAACACCAACGACCAAGAAAGAAGACGAAGGAA